GGAAACGGUAAAUGACUCACGCGUUGCCGACGUAUAUUCUGGGGAAGACCUCGUUGAAAUGUUGUGUAGACACACCCCAGCUAACUCGCCCAGUGGCAGGCAGACACUCCGGAGACGGGAGCAGGACCGGAGCUGAGGACAGCUGCGCACGCCAGCCAGGGUGGCGACCGACGACGGCCGACCGAUAAGCAAGGUGGUGGGAGGACAACAUGCUGCCUUCAGUGUUUGAAGCUGUCAGGAGAGCAUAUGUGCUGUGUGUCGUCGCUGGCCUCUACCUGUCAUCUCUGCCCUGUGCGCAGAGCGUCAGGCAACACAUCAGUAAUACAGUACACACUUCUUCUGUCCUCCCACUUCACCUUCUUGUCCCAUGACACACAAGGAAGUGUGGGCUAUAUAUCUAAGCUACAGCUGACAAAGGAGAGAGAAUAUUGCAUUGUGUUGCUAUUGUGUUUCGUAAAAACAUAAGAUAUAAAAAUAUAAACAUAAAAUAUCAUUUAUUU